UUUUAACAGAAGGACAGAACAGAGAGGACAGAAGAAAUUUGCAGCGGUGUAAUUCACACAAAUCACCACAGGAGGGCGAAACACUUAUGUUUAUUUGACUCGAUCGGACUCGGUUUGCAACGGUGUGAUUCACACAAAU